rnacentral:rRNA from 1 species
GGAGUCUAGCAUGUGCGCGAGUCAUUGGGAUAUAACUAAACUCAAAGGCACAAUGAAAGUGAAGGUCCGCCUUGCGCGGACCGAGGGAAGAUGGGUGGUCGUUACGGCUGCUGCCCCGCACUCCCGGGGCGUCUCAUUCUCAUUGCGAGAAGAGGCGCACCAAGAGCGUACACGCUGGGACCCGAAAGAUGGUGAACUAUGCCUGGUCAGGACGAAGUCAGGGGAAACCCUGAUGGAGGUCCGUAGCGAUUCUGACGUGCAAAUCGAUCGUCGGAACUGGGUAUAGGGGCGAAAGACUAAUCGAACCAUCUAGUAGCUGGUUCCCUCCGAAGUUUCCCUCAGGAUAGCUGGCGCUCGUAGCGCACGAGUUUCAUCCGGUAAAGCGAAUGAUUAGAGGCAUUGGGGUCGAAACGGCCUCAACCUAUUCUCAAACUUUAAAUGGGUGAGAUCUCCGGCUUGCUCGAACUCUUGAAGCCGCGAGACUCGAAUCAGAGUGCCAAGUGGGCCAUUUUUGGUAAGCAGAACUGGCGCUGUGGGAUGAACCAAACGCCGAGUUAAAGCGCCUAAAUCGACGCUUAUGGGAUACCAUGAAAGGCGUUGGUAACUUAAGACAUCAGGACGGUGGCCAUGGAAGUC